UUGACCAAAGUACUUAUCCCUUGCUUUGAGAGUUUCUGCUUGCUUUGUGUUUCUCCUCUGGCCUUGGACACGAGGGAGGAGAUGAGUAAAUCUUUCUUCAUAUUCUGAGAGCCUUGACAACACCUAGGGCCUUUGACUGACAAUGUUCAAAUUGUACCAGAAACAUUGGUUGCGAAAGAGGCUCAUGAUUAUCCAUCAUAAGUCCUGCUCUGUCAACCGGCUUCAUAAGGUGGUUAAGAAAAUCAAAUGAGGUAAUGAAUAUAAAAUGACCUGCUUCAUGCUUGAAACCACCCGAACAGGAGGAGCCAGUCCAGGGUCACAAAGACCCAAAUGCAAAGUUAAACCUUCAGUUUGGUCCAGGGGCAUGUGUGCUGCCCGCCCCAAGCUCCGUGAAAUGUAAUUAACUCUUCUCUUCAGGAACAAAACAAAGCAAUAACAAACAAAAAACAAAACUAAUUAGAAAACUGAAAGAUCUCCUAACCACAGGCUUCAAGAAACUAAUUAUCGAAAGAAAAGAAAACAUUAUAUGAAUGUUAACAAUAUCCAUUUAAACAAGGUAUUUUUUAAAGUGACAUCCACAGCGAUUAUACCAAUUAAACUGAUGUCAGAUUUCCUUCUGAAUUA